rnacentral:rRNA from 1 species
GAUGAACGCUAGCGGCAGGCUUAACACAUGCAAGUCGAACGGUAACAGGAAGAGCUUGCUCUUCGCUGACGAGUGGCGCACGGGUGCGUAACGCGUAUGCAACCUACCUCUAACUAAGGAAUAGCCCGAAGAAAUUCGGAUUAAUACUUUAUAGUAUUGCAGUUUGGCAUCAUUCUGUAAUUAAAGCUUCGGCGGUUAGAGAUGGGCAUGCGUCCCAUUAGUCUGUUGGUGAGGUAACGGCUCACCAAAACUACGAUGGGUAGGGGGCCUGAGAGGGUAAUCCCCCACACUGGUACUGGGACACGGACCAG